GAAAUGCCACAAUUAACACAACGAAGAGAAUCCUCUUCAGCUUCCAUUGCCUGGUUAACAAUACUUGGAUCAAUAACAGUGUGGUUACUCUCAGCCGCUUCGAAAUUGGCGUCGACUUCGAAAUACUUCGACGCCGUAUUCUUAACGAGGUGUAACAAACCUAAACCUAUUACAAAGACAGUGAAAAUAAAUUGCAGUAACCAAUUCAGAUCCAUUGUUAUUCCACCGACAUGCA